rnacentral:lncRNA from 1 species
AUACCAAGAGUAACCUUGCCUGCCUUCCAGGGCUGUUGUAAGGAGCUCAUACUUAUCGAAGGAGUUUGUAAAGUGUUAGGUGCCACAGAAGACCAAGUAACUACAUAGGUUAAAUGGUAGUAUCUGGAUGACAAAACCGUAUUGUCCUUCUUCAUCUUCUUUGCCAAGAUCAUGGCCCGAGGCCAAUGAUUUGAAAAUGCGUAGCUGAGAAAGAGAGAGAGAAAAAGAGGGAGAGAGAAAAGAAAGCAGUUUACUGGCUCAAUGUUAUUGCAGGGA